UACGUAGGGUGCAAGCGUUGUCCGGAAUCAUUGGGCGUAAAGCGCACGUAGGCGGCUAGAUAAGUCGGGUGUGAAAGCCCUGGGGCUCAACCCAGGAAGUGCAUUCGAAACUGUCUAGCUUGAAUCUCGGAGGGGGUCAGAGAAUUCCCGGUGUAGAGGUGAAAUUCGUAGAUAUCGGGAGGAAUACCAGUGGCGAAGGCGCUGACCUGGACGAAGGUUGACGCUGAGGUGCGAAAGCGCGGGGGAGCAAACAGG
rnacentral:rRNA from 1 species